AUGAUGAUUCUGGCGUGUAUCUCAUUCAUUUGGACGAGCUUCAGCUCCGCAUCUGGCUGCACACCAGGGGAGAACUGUUUGCUGGUGGAUACCAUAUGUUUGCGUGAGAUGUGUGCUAAAUGGAGGAUGCCUGAUCACACACAUCAGGUGUGGAUGAAGCACGUGGGGCGCAAUGCUGAGUUUGUUUUCUUGGAGAUGGGUCCAUGCCUACUCUAUUUGGAUAUCAAGUGCAGGAUGCUGUAUAAAGUGUAUGAGGGGACAAGCGAGAUUCAGUGGUUGGGUUUUAUCCGUCCGUAUAUGAUGAUCUGGCCUCCCACAUUCCCUGCGCUCAAGGAUGAUCCUGCAAGUAAUGUGACAGGAAGAGGAGGAAGGUCGAGGAUCAAAGAAGCGUGA
rnacentral:rRNA from 1 species